UCCCGAGCGUUNUCCGGAUUUAUUGGGCGUAAAGGGAGCGCAGGCGGUUUAGUAAGUCUGAAGUUAAAGGCAUUGGCUCAACCAAUGUAUGCUUUGGAAACUGUUAGACUUGAGUGCAGAAGGGGAGAGUGGAAUUCCAUGUGUAGCGGUGAAAUGCGUAGAUAUAUGGAGGAACACCGGUGGCGAAAGCGGCUCUCUGGUCUGUCACUGACGCUGAGGCUCGAAAGCGUGGGUAGCGAACAGGAUUAGAUACCCUGGUAGUCCACGCCGUAAACGCUGAGUGCUAGGUGUUAGGUCCUUUCCGGGACUUAGUGCCGACGCUAACGCAUUAAGCACUCCGCCUGGGGAGUACGACCGCAAGGUUGAAACUCAAAGGAAUUGACGGGGGCCCGCACAAGCGGUGGAGCAUGUGGUUUAAUUCGAAGCAACGCGAAGAACCUUACCAGGUCUUGACAUCCCGAUGCCCGCUCUAGAGAUAGAGUUUUUCUUCGGAACAUCGGAGACAGGUGGUGCAUGGUUGUCGUCAGCUCGUGUCGUGAGAUGUUGGGUUAAGUCCCGCAACGAGCGCAACCCUUAUUGUUAGUUGCCAUCAUUAAGUUGGGCACUCUAGCGAGACUGCCGGUAAUAAACCGGAGGAAGGUGGGGAUGACGUCAAAUCAUCAUGCCCCUUAUGACCUGGGCUACACACGUGCUACAAUGGUUGGUACAACGAGUCGCAAGCCGGUGACGGCAAGCUAAUCUCUGAAAGCCAAUCUCAGUUCGGAUUGUAGGCUGCAACUCGCCUACAUGAAGUCGGAAUCGCUAGUAAUCGCGGAUCAGCACGCCGCGGUGAAUACGUUCCCGGGCCUUGUACACACCGCCCGUCACACCACGAGAGUUUGUAACACCCAAAG
rnacentral:rRNA from 1 species